ensembl:lncRNA
UUCUUCUGUCGGUUCAGUGUAUGGGCAUCUGCUUAUCCUUCCUCUCGACUACAAACCAAUGACAUUUUGAAGAAUCGCCUCGUGUGUCAGAGGAAGAACAUGUAAGGAUCAGGUACAGAAGAAACAAACAAAACAAGAUGAUGACGUCACUGCAUUGAGGAGGCGAGGUGAAAACGAAAGUUGAACAGCAGAUCAAAUCUUCGCGAGUGCAUGUUUCCUGUAAUCAUGUGUUUCAUGCAAAAGCGUUCAUGUUAUAAAUCACAUAUGUGGGAAUUACCUGUAUUUAUUUUCUUUAACUAAUCAGUCUGAAAACGGUGAAGAGAGCGACGAGACCUGAAACACUUCCUGAAAUGGCAGCGAUCUGCAGCUCCAGUCCAGAUGAUCCAGUGAUCCGGAUUCUUCUGAAACGGUUCUGGAGAAAGCUCAUCUGUGGGGGCGAUUCACAAAAGACAAAAGAAGUAAAAUAAAAACAAACAAUGUAGAAACUCAAAGAAGAGACUGGAGAACUGAACUCUGGGAAGGCACUCCCUGUGAAAAACCCGAGUUUAUGAUAUUCACAGAUCACUGGAUUAACUGGGACGUGUGGAGGGAAUUACCACUUGAUUUGGUUGAUUUUGUUUGUUGGAGGCGACGGAGUUUCGGAUGGUUUCCUUCCUGCCCUCUUCUGCUGAAGGAGGAGCCUUUCUUUUGGCUGAACGGCUCAUAAUGAACUAGAUGUUUAUGCCUAGUCCUACAAUACAGCUCUUCAGAAUUCUGCUGUCACUUUUCCAUUUUGCCCAAGGACCCGCUUAAGUGUUAAAACAUGCCUAACAUCAGUGUGAAGUGUGCAGAGAUUGAGACUGACAGAGGGUUUGAGUUCAAGCUUCCCUCUGAUUCACUGAAUCACACACUCAGAGACUGACGGGCGUCUGAUAGCAGAUCCAUCAGAUCCUCAAACACUGAUUGAUCCUGUGACGGCUGUAAAAUCUGAUCGUCUCGUCACGUCUCGCUGUGUGAAUCUAAAUCAUGAGAUCAUCUGUGAUUCUGCUGAUGGAGUAAAUCAACUCAAUCUCUAUAUCUAUAUCUCUAUAUUUAAUCCUUCAUGAACAUUAUAAAUGCUGCUCUAAUUCUUCUUUCUCUCAUUUCAGCAUCAUUUCAGUCGUGUGACCGCAUUCAGAGUGAGGAAUGAAACUGCAGCGACUCCAAACUCAGAUCUCCUGAAUGAAGUGAGUCCAGAUCUCCAACAUUCAGUAGAUCACUUCUGGUGGCUUUUGGCUGUUUUCAUCAUUGUUCUUCUCAUCAUCUUCUUGAUCUGUUUGUUGAAGCGUAAAAGCAUUUUCAGAUGUUUUCAGAGGUUCAUCUGUCAGCGUGACGAUGAUGAUUCAGAAAACAGGGAUCCUGAAGCUGCUGUCCAAAUGAUCUGAUGCUCCUGAUUCACUGAAUCAAUCUCAGUGUGAAUCGACUCACGUCAUUAUUUACUCAAACGUCACUGUGAUCUUUGACAUGAAGAUGAUGAAGGGAGUUUGUGUUCAUUCUGAGCUUCUCAACUCUUAUUUAUUCUCGUUCGUCCUCAACUGUAAUGCAAAUGAAUACAUGAGAUAUAAAACACUGCAAGAUCUUACAAUCAAAAUGUGUGUUUGUUUUGUUCAUCAUUCAUCAAUUUAAUCAUUCAUGAUCAUUCCGUCAUUUACAUCUAUUCAUUCAAUCGUUUAUAUUGUUUUAUGUUUUAGAUUAUUAUUAUUAGGUUGUUCAUCCUGGUGUUUUUUAUGCUUCAUGUAAUGUGUGUCAUCAUGAAUGAGAUGAGGGUGAAUGUCUCCAGCUGCAGGGUUUUAAAGGAUGUCUUGUUAUACAGUAAUAACUCUUGCUGUAGGUUGUACUGAUCAGAUGAAGUCAGACUGAGCAGUGAAACAGACACAACUAAGGUUUUGCAGAGGAGCAGUCAUCUGAGUGUUCAAACUAAAAUCAGGUGGAAAGAACAGCAGGAGAGGAAAAAUAAACAGAUGAAGUAUCAGAUUGGUGAUGUAUGUCUUGUGUAAGCAGAUGCUUGCUGCACAGCAGUCUGUGUUUCCCUACAUAUGACAAACUACUGUGAAACAAUUAUCAUACUCUGAAGGAGCAAAACAGUAGAUAUAAGCUGUAAAUAUGGAAAGCAAUAUGUAAUCAAUGUUUGUACAGAUUGUGUGGAUCUUGCAUCAAAAUAUUAAUAUAAGCACACCUAGUCAUACUUUUGAGAUGGCAUGAUGAUAAUUAACUGGAAUAAUUGAAUUAAAAACAUUAAAUAGUGAGAAGACUGCAGCUGCUUCUGCUGGGAAUGAGAGUGAAGGUGAGCCUUGGGUAGUCGAAGAAUUGAACAAUUCAUACACAAAUAUGAUUCAGAGUUCUGCAUUAACAUGCAUGUGAUACUGUACUAUACUGUACUAUACUGCAAGAUAUAUACCUGCUUUUUAGUUUAAUACACCCCUGCCUUGGUGAAACACAGUAACUGACUUAAAUAUAAAGCACUGUAUAAAUAAAGGUGAAUUGACUUAAACAUUA